rnacentral:lncRNA from 1 species
CCAAAGGGGCCGAACAAGUAGAGGAGGCGUUUAUUGUGAGAGAGGAGAGGAAAAUUUUCGUAAAUGCCAACAGGUACUCUUUUUUCAAUCCAAACACAUACAGAUUUUGGUUUUUUGGUGUGCAUGUUAUUUGUGGAUUGCUGAUGAAACUACAUCUUGAUGCGAAUUGAGGAAUUAAAGUAUAAAGAUAAAGUAAUUUUACCAAAUCCUUUUCUUUAGAUUCUGAUGUUAUAAUUUUGCAAUGUACUGUGAUUACUUGAAGCUUGGAAGAUGUCAAACUCUGAUUUUGAGAGCUUUCAAGUUUGUUUCAUUCCCAAAGAGAAGAAGGAGAUUUAAGAUAUUUUAUGUGAUGUCGGGUUUUCUUCAUUUUGGAUUAUGAUUACCUGAAAAAUGAAAUUCCAUGGUUACUUUUAUUCGUUUUGAAUCUGAUUUCAAUUAUUAAGACUUAGAUAUAUGCCCAAGAUUCUCUUCAUUUAUCUAUAGCUUUAUUUGAAGCUCUAUUGUUUAUUUACUUUUAUUAUAGAUAACUCACAUCUAAAUUAUCUUUGCGAGUAUAAAUGCUUUAAAGAAAACAAUGUUGAUACAGAUGGAUGGAUCGACGCAGAAGUGCUACUAUCUUCUUUCUUUGCUUGUCUCUUGGGGGUGAUGGUAGUCUUGCUUUUUUAGCCUCACGGCUACGUUAUUUUUUAUUUUAUUUUUCCUAUUUCUAGAUUCCCAUGUUCCUAUUUCUACGUUAUUUUUUUAUUUUUUAUUUUUUUAUGCGAAGGCUUCAACCGUUAAUUUAAUCUUUUGUUCAAGCGUAAUUCCUUUUCUAGAUCUAACGGUCCAUUUCCAGUAUAAAUUUUUCAUGGAUACGGGAAUAUGUAGAUGGGACGUAUAAGUAUAGGAUUUGGUGCCUGGAUUUCUCUUUUACUUGAAUUAGCUUAUCUUAUAUGGACUUAGUAAAUUACUGUAUAUGAAUGAACUUUGUUUGCCAUUAAUGUAAGUUGAAUCAUUAUCAGUGAAUAUGACGAUGGUUUUUUUUGUCUUAUGCUGGGUAAGAAAAUAUUUUUUUUAUAUCAAUCACUUCGAAUCAGUAAG